rnacentral:rRNA from 1 species
UACGUAGGGGGCUAGCGUUGUCCGGAUUUAUUGGGCGUAAAGAGCGUGUAGGCGGCCAGGUAGGUCUGCUGUGAAAACUCGAGGCUCAACCUCGAGACGUCGGCGGAAACCAUCUGGCUAGAGUCCGGAAGAGGAGAGUGGAAUUCCUGGUGUAGCGGUGAAAUGCGCAGAUAUCAGGAAGAACACCCGUGGCGAAGGCGGCUCUCUGGGACGGUACUGACGCUGAGGUGCGAAAGCGUGGGGAGCGAACAGG